CCUACGGGUGGCUGCAGUAAGGAAUAUUGGUCAAUGGACGCAAGUCUGAACCAGCCAUGCCGCGUGAAGGAUGAAGGUCCUCUGGAUUGUAAACUUCUUUUAUAGGGGACGAAACCCGGACAAUCCUGUCCGAUUGACGGUACCCUGGGAAUAAGCACCGGCUAACUCCGUGCCAGCAGCCGCGGUAAUACGGAGGGUGCAAGCGUUAUCCGGAUUCACUGGGUUUAAAGGGUGCGUAGGCGGGCAGGUAAGUCAGUGGUGAAAUCCUAGAGCUU
rnacentral:rRNA from 1 species